rnacentral:rRNA from 1 species
CCUACGGGAGGCUGCAGUAGGGAAUCUUCCACAAUGGGCGAAAGCCUGAUGGAGCAACGCCGCGUGGGUGAAGAAGGUCUUCGGAUCGUAAAACCCUGUUGUCAGAGAAGAAAGUGCGUGAGAGUAACUGUUCACGUUUCGACGGUAUCUAACCAGAAAGCGACGGCUAACUACGUGCCAGCAGCCGCGGUAAUACGUAGGUGGCAAGCGUUAUCCGGAUUUAUUGGGCGUAAAGGGAACGCAGGCGGUCUUUUAAGUCUGAUGUGAAAGCUUUCGGCUUAACCGGAGUAGUGCAUUGGAAACUGGGGGACUUGAGUGCAGAAGAGGAGAGUGGAACUCCAUGUGUAGCGGUGAAAUGCGUAGAUAUAUGGAAGAACACCAGUGGCGAAAGCGGCUCUCUGGUCUGUAACUGACGCUGAGGUUCGAAAGCGUGGGUAGCAAACAGGAUUAGAUACCCCGGUAGUC